rnacentral:rRNA from 1 species
CAUGAAGCUGGAAUCGCUAGUAAUCGCGGAUCAGAAUGCCGCGGUGAAUACGUUCCCGGGUCUUGUACACACCGCCCGUCACACCAUGGGAGUCGGAAAUGCCCGAAGUCAGUGACCCAACCGUAAGGAGGGAGCUGCCGAAGGUGGAGCCGGUAACUGGGGUGAAGUCGUAACAAGGUAGC